rnacentral:lncRNA from 1 species
CGGCCAGAAAGAAUCUUACCUCCUCAUGUUACAGUUGAACAUGUUCUUCAACUCUUAACAUAUUGGUAACUUUCACCAAAAAAUAUUUGCAGUGUAACAGAGAUUCUAUACCUAAUAAAUAGAGAGUUGUAACAUGAUAGCAGAAACAAAAAGGGAAGUGCCUCAAUCAUACAUAAGAAACUAAUAAGUAAGUGAUUUUAG